rnacentral:lncRNA from 1 species
CUUGAUUCCCUUAGAUCCUCUUGUUGCCUUCGUCCUUUUCAGUCCAAAUGUAACAUUUGCAAGUGCUUACCAUCGUUACUGCAACACAAAAUCCAAGUUUAGUAAUUGAUGAUGCAGGAAAGACGAUAACCCCUCUAAAGCAGUGACCAAUAACAACCAUACUUCGUGACCCGUGAAAAUGCAGCACCAGGCAUAAUAUGUAUUUCAACUAGUUUUCAACACUUAUUCCAACAGGAGAUAAUGCCUAGUGGGACUACUGUAUACGUGACAGGUCAUUAGUAUAUUGACAGCAAGCUUAGUCAAACAUCCCCGAAUACAUAGCUAUCCAGCAUAGGUAGGUGGAGUUGAAAGGACUCAAAAUCUUAGCCAAACAUCCUCUAACCCAAGCAAUCCAGCACAGGUAGGUGGGGUUCACUCAUCCAGUAGAAAAGAAACGAUAGACAACAAUGUUGUAGGUGCUCAUAAGAUUCUUGAUGAAAACAAUUAGGGAUUAACUGCUGUCAAGGAAAGGAUAUUGGAGUUUAUAGCUGUGGGGAAACUGAGAGGAACCUCACAAAGUUGACAUUUUCUUUCUUUUUUUAUUUUCUGGAAUAAGGUUGGCACUCUAACUUGUAUGUUUUUCAAUUAGGUUACUAAAGUCGUAUACUUUUAUCAAAUCCCUUUGUGUUAUUUUGAGCAGAAAUGAUAUUCACUUUUAUGCUCAUCCCUGACAUUGAAUGUGUAUGCAUGUGUGAGUCUAUGCACACACUUAAAUGCCUUGACAUGUGUAUGAGAAUAAUGCUGUUGUGUCAGUAUAAGUUAUUGCUAUUUUCUCUGACAGAUUAUCUGGAUGAUAAUUUCAAAUUACUUGUUUCGUGCUGAUCCUUCUUUAUAAUGGUACUUGGGGCUUCUUUGUGAAUCCAGCUAUCUGGACCCUAAGCUAACAUGGCGAAACUACUGAUGCAUCCACAUUUUGCUGAAGCCUCCUGCACGGCUAUUUUAUUGUCAGAGCCUCGAACUUUGUUUAUUUGCAGUUGCUGUAUAAGUAUCCUAUUACCCUUUUUCUCUGUCUUUCUUUAUGUCAAGUAAUUUAACAUGGAAGACAGGGAAGAAGCUGAAGCCAACAUUAAUGACAGUUUUCUUUUGUAUUAUUCAUUCUAUAACUUGACAUGGAGCUUGCAGAAAACUUUGGUCACUCUUUCAUUAUCCUGUGGGUUGAAUUUCAGAUGUCAUUGGCUAUGCCUAUUGUAUUACAAAUAACACUUUUAACUCUCUCUCUCUCUCUCGCGCGCGCGCUCAUAAUACAUGAUAUGCUUCUUUUUUCUCUUUUGACUGCUGUAGAUUGUGCAGCACAUUCUAUAAUAUAGAAUCCUGCAAUACAGAGUACUGAAGUCCUCUGUUUGUUGUUUCUUAAAUUAAUAACGUAAGUUUUACUGGUUUUCAGUUGGUGGUUUGUCUGAUAUUGCUGAAAUUAAGGUAGGCACUGAACCUUAUAACACUUGAGAUAAUAUUUCAACUAGAUAUAUUGAUAUUAUAUGUUCAUCUAUCUUGUUAUUGAUUCCAAGUUUCACAUCUAGGGGCACCGUCGAAUAUAUAUUGGUGCCAUGCUGGGGAAGAUGGUGCAAUGCUUGGAAAGUUUUGGAACAGCAAACCCUCUGGUUC